rnacentral:ribozyme from 1 species
UUUUUUUUUUUUUUUUUUUUUUUC